rnacentral:rRNA from 2 species
GGAGGAAAAGAAACUAACAAGGAUUCCCCUAGUAACGGCGAGUGAAGAGGGAAGAGCCCAAGAUUGAAAGCUGGCGUCUUCGGCGUCCGCAUUGUAAUCUCAAGAAGUGUUUUCCGUUUCGGACCAAGCCUAAGUCUCCUGGAAAGGAGCAUCGUAGAGGGUGAAAAUCCCGUACAUGGUUUGGAGCGCCCGAAGCUUUGUGAUACACUUUCUAAGAGUCGAGUUGUUUGGGAAUGCAGCUCAAAAUGGGUGGUAAAUGCCAUCUAAGGCUAAAUAUUGGGGAGAGACCGAUAGCGAACAAGUACAGUGAUGGAAAGAUGAAAAGAACUUUGAAAAGAGAGUUAAAAAGUACGUGAAAUUGCCAAAAGGGAAGGGUAGGAGGUCAGAGAUGCGGUCUGGGAUUCAGCCUUGCUUUUGCUUGGUGUAUUUCCCAGUUUGCAGGCCAACGUCGGUUUUGGACACUGGAGAAUGGUAAGAGGAAUGUGGCACUCUUCGGAGUGUGUUAUAGCCUCUUACUGGAUGCAGCGACCGAGACCGAGGAACGCAGCGUACUCGAAAGAGCGGGCCUUCGGGCACCUUUACGCUUAGGGCGUUGGCAUAAUGGCCCUCUACCACCCGUCUU